rnacentral:miRNA from 1 species
CUCUAGCCAGGGCUUGACUGCA